GGGCAAUGUUUAUAUAAAUUCUUCUUUUCAUGGUGUACGUAAUUGCAUAUGGGAAGUCUUUUCUUUUAGUUUCUGUCUUAUUGCUGUGCUAGAAACGCAAUUCCGGCUGGCAUUAUCUGGUUGGUGCCAUUUAACUGGUCCAAUCUGGAAUUUGGUCUGUGCUUUACAACUUGGUUCAAGCCUGCACAGGCUCUCAUCGAAGACCAACAUAUAGCUAAUGCCGCAUUGCAUCAUGGCUUGUAGUGAAUUGGAAUGGUUUAUGUUUUGCAAUGUACUGUUGGUGUAUAUACUUAUUUAUGUGUUGAUGAUGUUUCUGAGGAUUUCUGAAUGGUUAGGACAACAACGUGCAUCACAAUAAUUGGAACCGUUGUUUGUUGAUGGCUUGCGUUGUUGUUGAUCCACAGUGCAUGAGAUCAUGAUUUGUAUUAUCUGAUGAGCAUUGUUUACAAUUGGAAUUCCUUCUCCACUAAACAUGUGAUUGAUUACAGGUGUUUAUGGUAUGGCAUUGACUUGACAGCAGGUUGGUCAUUUGGUCCCAUAGCUUCACUUCCUAUUCUGACUUUGGUUUAGGCAUAUCUACUCCUACUGAUUUGGUGUUUGGCAGCAGCUCUUCAUUUGUCCAUUGUGUUUGUGGUGCAGGUUUAGUAUAGGUUUGGUGCAGAUUUCGUGCUGCAGGGUCUAGGAUCUUACCAUGAUGCAGCCAUGAUACAAGCAGGUCAUGAUUAUGGUUUGUCUGUAGGUGGAUUGUUGUUUUAUUGUAGGUUGAUGGUUCAGCUCAUGUUGUAAUGAUGCUUGUGUAAUGUUUAUGUAUGGACUGCCGCAGGCCUUAAUGAAUGCCAUACACUGUUGUUUUAGGUGAUUUUCAUUGAA